GGACGAACGCUGGCGGCGUGCCUAACACAUGCAAGUCGAACGGAACUAAUUGACUGAUCCUUCGGGAUGAAGAAUUUUAGUUAGUGGCGGACGGGUGAGUAACGCGUGAGUAACCUGCCUCUGAGAGGGGAAUAACGUUCUGAAAAGAACGCUAAUACCGCAUAACACAUAUUUGCCGCAUGACAGAUAUGUCAAAGAUUUUUAUCGCUCGGAGAUGGACUCGCGUCCGAUUAGUUAGUUGGUGAGGUAACGGCUCACCAAGACCGCGAUCGGUAGCCGGACUGAGAGGUUGAACGGCCACAUUGGGACUGAGACACGGCCCAGACUCCUACGGGAGGCAGCAGUGGGGGAUAUUGCGCAAUGGGGGCAACCCUGAACCGCAGCAACGCCGCGUGAAGGAUGAAGGUUUUCGGAUUGUAAACUUCUUUUAUCAGGGACGAACUCUGACGGUACCUGAUGAAUAAGCUCCGGCUAACUACGUGCCAGCAGCGGC
rnacentral:rRNA from 1 species